GAGCCAUUAGCUCAGUUGGUAGAGCACCUGACUUUUAAUCAGGGGGUCGCAGGUUCGAAUCCUGCAUGGCUCACCA
rnacentral:tRNA from 1 species